UUCCGGUUGAUCCUGCCGGACCUGACUGCUAUCGGAUUGAUACUAAGCCAUGCGAGUCUUUGUAGCAAUACAAGGCAGACGGCUCAGUAACACGUAGUCAAUCUACCCUAUAGACGGGGAUAACCUCGGGAAACUGAGAAUAAUACCUGAUAGGUCAUUAUGCCUGGAAUGGUUUAUGAUUAAAAUGAUUCGUCGCCGUAGGAUGAGACUGCGGCCUAUCAGCUUGUUGGUGAGGUAAUGGCCCACCAAGGCUAUUACAGGUACGGGCUCUGAGAGGAGAAGCCCGGAGAUGGGUACUGAGACACGGACCCAGGCCCUAUGGGGCGCAGCAGGCGAGAAACCUUUGCAAUGUGCGCAAGCACGACAAGGUUAAUCCGAGUGAUUCCUGCUAAAGGAAUCUUUUGUUAGUCUUAAAAUCACUAUCGAAUAAGGGGUGGGCAAGUUCUGGUGUCAGCCGCCGCGGUAAAACCAGCACCUAAGUGGUCAGGAGGAUUAUUGGGCCUAAAGCAUCCGUAGCCUGCUCUGUAAGUUUCCGGUUAAAUCCAUUAGCUCAACUAAUGGCCUGCCGGAAAUACUGCAGAGCUAGGAAGUGGGAGAGGUAGACGGUACUCGGUAGGAAGGGGUAAAAUCCUUUGAUCUAUUGACGACCACCUGUGGCGAAGGCGGUCUACCAGAACACGUUCGACGGUGAGGGAUGAAAGCUGGGGGAGCAAACCGGAUUAGAUACCCGGGUAGUCCCAGCUGUAAACGAUGCAUACUAGGUGAUGGUACGGCCAUGAGCCGUAUCAGUGCCGUAGGGAAACCGUUAAGUGUGCCGCCUGGGAAGUACGGUCGCAAGGCUAAAACUUAAAGGAAUUGGCGGGGGAGCAC
rnacentral:rRNA from 1 species